GCUGGGAUAGCUCAGUUGGUAGAGCAUGAGAUUCUUAAUCUCAGGCUUGUAGGCCCUAACCCCAUUCUGAGCA